GCCUGGGUAGCUCAGUUUGGUUAGAGCAUCAGACUUUUAAUCUGAGGGCCGUGGGUUCGAGUCCCACGUCAGGCU